UACGUAGGGUGCAAGCGUUAAUCGGAAUUACUGGGCGUAAAGCGUGCGCAGGCGGCUUUGCAAGACAGAUGUGAAAUCCCCGGGCUCAACCUGGGAACUGCAUUUGUGACUGCAUGGCUGGAGUGCGGCAGAGGGGGAUGGAAUUCCGCGUGUAGCAGUGAAAUGCGUAGAUAUGCGGAGGAACACCGAUGGCGAAGGCAGCCCCCUGGGCUAGCACUGACGCUCAGGCACGAAAGCGUGGGGAGCAAACAGG
rnacentral:rRNA from 1 species